UCCCGUUACUAUAUCCCUGCCACUGUAGGAUGUCUUGUCCAGCCUUCAAACCACUGAAUUGGUCGAUGGUGCUGAAGAAUUUUGUUACUCUUGGUAUUUCCCAAUCAUUGAGGUGUCUCCUGAACACAAAAUUCCACCCUUGAGGUGUCCACAAUUCUGCUAUUGUGAUGUAAAACUAUGAGGUGUCCACAAUUCUGCUAUUGUGCUCUGUUGAUGCAAAAUUAAGUUAUAAAUAUCUAGGAGUAAUGUCUCCAUGUUGCCUGCUUCAUGCCAAUCAUCCUUCCAGAAGACAGUUUUAACUCCAU
rnacentral:lncRNA from 1 species